CUUUAGCCCCGAUUGUAGCGAUAUCCUUUUUUUCUGGUCCCUACGGUUCGGGACAGAAAAAAAGAUAUAGCGGAAAGCGGGAACGGUA
rnacentral:sRNA from 1 species